GCUCAGGAUGAACGCUGGCGGCGUGCUUAACACAUGCAAGUCGAGCGAAGCACUUAAGUCUGAUUCUUCGGAUGAAGACUUUUGUGACUGAGCGGCGGACGGGUGAGUAACGCGUGGGUAACCUGCCUCAUACAGGGGGAUAACAGUUAGAAAUGACUGCUAAUACCGCAUAAGACCACGGUACCGCAUGGUACAGUGGUAAAAACUCCGGUGGUAUGAGAUGGACCCGCGUCUGAUUAGGUAGUUGGUGGGGUAACGGCCUACCAAGCCGACGAUCAGUAGCCGACCUGAGAGGGUGACCGGCCACAUUGGGACUGAGACACGGCCCAGACUCCUACGGGAGGCAGCAGUA
rnacentral:rRNA from 1 species